AUUGAACGCUGGCGGCAUGCCUUACACAUGCAAGUCGAACGGUAACAGGUUAAGCUGACGAGUGGCGAACGGGUGAGUAAUGUACCGGAACGUGCCCAGUCGUGGGGGAUAACGCAGCGAAAGCUGCGCUAAUACCGCAUACGAACUAUGGAUGAAAGCGGGGGACCGUAAGGCCUCGCGCGAUUGGAGCGGCCGAUGUCAGAUUAGGUAGUGGGUGGGGUAAAGGCUCACCAAGCCAACGAUCUGUAGCUGGUCUGAGAGGACGACCAGCCACACUGGGACUGAGACACGGCCCAGACUCCUACGGGAGGCAGAAGUGGGGAAUUUUGGACAAUGGGCGCAAGCCUGAUCCAGCAAUGCCGCGUGCAGGAAGAAGGCCUUCGGGUUGUAAACUGCUUUUGUACGGAACGAAACGGUUCUCUCUAAUACAGGGGGCUAAUGACGGUACCGUAAGAAUAAGCACCGGCUAACUACGUGCCAGCCGCCGCCGUAACAC
rnacentral:rRNA from 1 species